CAUGGCUAGUCACGUUGUGUCCACAGUCAGGAACUGAGAAAGAGAUGAAUGCCAUUGUUCACACUUUCUUGUCCCCUCCCACCCCUUUUUUAUUCAUUCCAGGACCACAGGCCAUGAGAUGGUACCACCCACAUUCAUGGUAUGUCUUCCUUUCUCUGGUAAACUUUGGAAAUGCCUUCAGGAGACACACCCAGGGAAGUGCCUCCUAGGUGAUUCUAAAGCCAGUCUAAUGAAGAUUAACCAUCAUAAAAGGUCCCCAAGACAAUAAGGAGUACAAGUGAUCCAACUUAUAAGGAAGAUGAUAGCACUGGACGAACGAACCUGGGAAUAUGGCUGAAUGGCCAAGGUGUAUCUGAAGAAGUAAGGAGCCACAUCUCACCUCUGCUUGGUUGGGUUCUCGAUCUCCCCCUUCUGCUGCAGGAUCCGCUGCAUCUUUCUGAUUUGUCUCCCUCCUGAUACAAAAGCCCUGGAACCCAGUUCAGUAUGAUUCAGCAGAAGUCUGGGUAAGGACUUGCGGUGAAUACCGCCUCUACUGUGUCCUUGAAAUUGGGGACUGUCAGCAAAGCAGAUAAGUCAAUCUGAAGGCUUCUCUAGGGGAGCCAUGCGGAGCUCUUCUCGCUGUCAACAGCACUUCCUGUUCACAGCUUCAGCCCCUGGAAAUGCUUUCGCUGAACAGCAAGCCCAGGCUGUCAACCACUGCAGUGGAGGCCUUUGUUGGCAACUUCUCUGCCUGUGCACACAGAGGACUCAUUCUUCCACAAAAGGCCAGGCAGCCUGCUGAUGGGCCAAGCCAGUUUACACGGAUGUUGCUCUCCAGAGGAAAGGCUGACUCAUUGGCCAGUACAUGUGCCUACAAAUCCGGUUUCACAGGCGAAUGAGAUCUGACUAGACUAACAAGAAUUCUACAACAAAUCAUUUUUUCCCAUUUUGUCUGGCGGUUCAGCCACUGCUCUUGUUAAGGCACAGCGGAGUUUGUUUCUUUGGCUACUUGCCUUGCCACAGACCCAUACCACUUAGUUGCCAAGCAGGGGUUCGCUGCCCCAGCACAUGGCAGAGCUAGGUGGUGGAAGAAUGGACUCUUGUGCUAGGUGGUGGAAGAAUGGACUCCACAGCUCCCUCAGGUGGUGGGACUGAGUGCUAGCAGGUGGGUCCCUGGAAGAAAGCCACCCCACACCCACCCCAGGCAGAUGCCAAUUCCAGAAUUGUUCCCCUUCCCAACCCUCAACUUAGUAGCCUUGAAUCAGCAGUGAGUAUAGGAGAAGGGCCCUGGAGGCUCGGAGUGUGACUGUGCCACUUAGUCACUGCCUGAUCUUUAACAAAUAAGCUGACUUUCCUCUUAGAAUUUCUCAGUCAUACAAUGAAGUCACACAGAAUAACCUUUCAGGUCUGGUCCAGCGUCAAUGAACUAUGGUAUGGUUUUGCUCCAGCUACACAGGAAGAAUGAAAUACAUUUCAGGCUCAUCAAUAUCAAGUCCCUGUCCCCUGUGGUCAAUAUUACUAAUGAGUGGCUUCAUUAAUCAUGAUCCAAUAGAGAAUUUCACCAGCAACACAGAUCUCCCCAAACUGGAAGCUAAUUCUCUUCUGUA
rnacentral:lncRNA from 1 species